ensembl:lncRNA
UUAUCAUUUAUUAUUGAUUUACAUCCCGUUGUUCUUUUAGGAGUCGUUUACAGCGUUGAGUGUGUUUGUAAUUAGCUACUAUUUGGGUAUGUGAAAAUGUGCUCUGCUUAUUUGUAAUUGCGUUACCUUGCGUCUUAUUUAGUGUUUAUAUAGCCUGCGUAUUUGAUCCAAAUGACAGGCCCAUGAAACUGAGCUCAGUGGAGCGGAAAGAGAGAGGAGAGAACGAGAGAGAGAUAGAGACUGAGAGAAACUCACAGAGAAAAGGAGAGCGAGAACGAGAGAGACAGAUAGAGACAGAGAGUGAGAGAGAGGGAGACAGAGACAGCGUGAGACAGACAGAGACAGAGAGAGAGAGAGAGAGAGAGAGAGAGAGAGAGAGAGAGAGAGAGAGAGAGAGAGAGAGAGAGAGAGAGAGAGAGAGAGAGAGAGAGAGACAGACAGAGACAGAGAGAGAGAGAGAGAGAGAGAGAGAGAGAGAGAGAGAGAGAGAGAGAGAGAGAGAGAGAGAGAGAGAGAGAGAGAGAGAGAGAGAGAGAGAGAGAGAGAGAGACAAACAGAGAGAGGGAGAGAGAUCGUUUCUAGGUCUGUCCUCAGACCGUGUGCGCGGGAGGCGUGGCCCACUGCAGCACCACUGAACCGGCUGACACCCACACGCAGACAGACAG